rnacentral:lncRNA from 1 species
GGGGAGAAGGGGCUAGUUGGUUUUUCUAUGAGCUGAUGAAGUUAGCAAGAUUCCCCAGGCAGAAAUGGGGUUUCCUAGGAAAAAGAAGGUGGAGGACAGAUGAUUCUUUUUGGAAUCUACCAUGUAGCAGUGCCAUUGGAAUUGGUGAGGCAGACCUAUGGAGAUCUGGAAGAGAGUCAUAGAAGGACCUAGACCAUGGGGUUGCCAUGUCAUUAGACUUCUCAUUCCACUAGAGUUGUAGACCAUGCUCACUCAAGUGUCCUGGGGGAAUGUGAAGACUGUCCAUUAUGUGAGGGCUAUUUUCUGCCCCAGAAGAGGCUGUAUAUAUUCCUACAACACAUUUUGCAGCCUUGAGCAAAACCAGCUACACAAGGAACCUACUGAAGAAUGUUGCACAAGAAGGGAAAAGACACACCUCUAA